CAGAGGAAGAACAAUGAUUCCAAGCACCACCCUCCUUUUGAAGCUUCCAGUCUGUUAUUCAAUCUCAAUCUGCAUGACAGUGAUCUCCAGCCUUGUCCACAUCAACACUCACACCUGUGUUAACGAAAGAAUAACUGACAUGAUGUCAGCUGGUCCUUUUGUGGCAAAAAGGAAAUACAGUGGAAAUGUUUUUGGGUGAUUCAGUUCAUUUGCAUGGCAAAGAGGGACUUUUCAUCUGAUCACUCUUCAUAACAUUCUGGAGUAUAUGCAAAUUGCCAUCAUACAAACUGAGGCAGCACACAUUGUGAAAAUGUAUAUUUGUGUCAUUCUCAAAACUUUUGGCCACGACUGUAGGGUAGGCCUACUGUUUGGAUGGGUCUGUGUCAAGGGUGUGUGUGUGUGUGUGUGUGUGUGUGUGUGUGUGUGUGUGUGUGUGUGUGUGUGUGUGUGUGUGUGUGUGUGUGUGUGUGUGUGUGUGUGUGUGUGUGUGUACACAUGCAUGCGUGUAUGAGUAGUUACAUGUACAUGUAUGUGUAUGGGUGUGUGUUUGAGGUUGGAGAGGGUGUGUAUUUGCUUGAGCGACAUGGAGACCUGGAAACUUCUAGAUGGAAAGAAGAAGAGGGAGAGCCUGGCGGACUGAUGACAGACUCUGGCUUUCCCAUAUCACUUUGCCCUGAGGCCUGAUACUGUACCUCCAGAAGACAACCCGAGACCUGCUACUUCCAGAAGACAACCAACCUGAGGUCUGACACCUCCAGAAGACAACCAACCUGAGGCCUGAUACCUCCAGAAGACAACCAACCUGAGGCCUGAUACUUCCAGAAUACAUCUAACCUGAGGCCUGAUACCUCCAGAAGACAUCCAACCUGAGGCCUGAUACUUCCAGAAGCCAUCCAACCUGAGGCCUGAUACUUCCAGAAGACAUCUAACCUGAGGCCUGAUACUUCCAGAAGACAUCCAACCUGAGGCCUGUUACCUCCAAAAGACAUCCAACCUGAGGCCUGUUACCUCCAGAAGACAUCUAACCUGAGGCCUGAUACUUCCAGAAUACAUCUAACCUGAGGCCUGAUACCUCCAGAAGACAUCUAACCUGAGGCCUGAUACCUCCAGAAGACAUCCAACCUGAGGCUUGAUACCUCCAGAAGACAACCAACCAACCCCUGGGGGGGGAUUUUUUUGGUUUGCCCGUGCUGCAGAUCGCUAUAUUGGUCCGCUAAUACAGGACUAUUAAAGGCCCAGUGCAUUACUUUUGUGAUCUUUUUUAUAUAAUAAUAAUUGAUAAUAAAUAUAUGUGAUUUUUA